rnacentral:rRNA from 1 species
CCUACGGGUGGCAGCAGUGAGGAAUAUUGGUCAAUGGACGAGAGUCUGAACCAGCCAAGUAGCGUGAAGGAUGACUGCCCUAUGGGUUGUAAACUUCUUUUAUAUGGGAAUAAAACGUUCCACGUGUGGGGUUUUGUAUGUACCAUAUGAAUAAGGAUCGGCUAACUCCGUGCCAGCAGCCGCGGUAAUACGGAGGAUCCGAGCGUUAUCCGGAUUUAUUGGGUUUAAAGGGAGCGUAGGUGGAUUGUUAAGUCAGUGGUGAAAGUUUGCGGCUCAACCGUAAAAUUGCAGUUGAAACUGGCAGUCUUGAGUACAGUAGAGGCAGGCGGAAUGCGUGGUGUAGCGGUGAAAUGCUUAGAUAUCACGAAGAACUCCGAUUGCGAAGGCAGUUCACUGGACUGCAACUGACACUGAGGCUCGAAAGUGUGGGUAUCAAACAGGAUUAGAUACCCGAGUAGUC